AGCCUCUGGUUCCUCUAGUCUCUCUCGAACUCUCUCAACCUCUGAAACCCUAGAAGCCACCUACCCCAUCUCCGACCUAAACUCCACCGGAAUUCAUAGUUAAUCUAGCCAUGGAUGAUCUCUACUCACCAUCACCUUCUCCUAUACACCUGUUCGCGAAAGAUUCGAGGCUAGACCUCGAGGGUCUUCCUCCAGACCUUUGUCGAUUCAAGAUUGUUUUACUGUUUCUGGCCUUGCUCCGGCGUACAUUAGCCGUUCGAGCCUGGAUUCGACCGUAUUGGCUCAGAUCCGUGCUCAAGACUUCCAAGCCUUGUCAUCCUUUUGAGUUCUCAGAAACCCUAGCCUUAUCGAUGUUCAUUUUUGCUUACCCUUUUAGAUAUGUGCUAUAUCUAUGCUAUAUUUGAUGUUUGGAGUAUUGUCCCCAAAUUUCUUUUUAAAAUCGUUGGUUUUUCUAAAUUAGGGUUUCUGAAAGUCUUUAGAUUCUUGUUGUUCUUUCCUUUUAGAUGUUUGUAUGUAUUAUGCUCGUAUGUUUUCCUCCUGUAUUAUGCAUGUAUUGUUUUCUCACACGAUUAGUCUGAUUUGUUUCCAUUCUUCUUCCAUGCGUAUUUACUAUUGUGUUUCUCAAAUGUUUUGCUUUUCUAAACUAUAUUCGUGUUCUUGUCAAGCAUGCUUCAUCUGUUCUGUUUAAACCCCCAUCUUUUCUUAUGUUCAGAAGUUGUCUGAACAUGUUUUUUCAUGCCUUAGAAUGGUUUUUCUUUCCUUUAUUGUUUCUGCAUUUCUCCUGAUUCUUAUGAGACUCCUUGAAACUAUUCACUUACAUUCUCGUUUUUGUGUUUGAUUCGAU
rnacentral:lncRNA from 1 species